rnacentral:rRNA from 1 species
UACGUAGGGGGCAAGCGUUGUCCGGAUUUAUUGGGCGUAAAGCGCUCGCAGGUGGUUCGUUGCGUCGUGCGUGAAAGACCCCGGCUCAACUGGGGGAGGUCGUGCGAUACGGGCGAACUGGAGGCCAGUAGGGGGAUGCGGAAUUCCGGGUGUAGUGGUGGAAUGCGUAGAGAUCCGGAGGAACACCAGCGGCGAAGGCGGCAUCCUGGACUGGUCCUGACACUCAGGAGCGAAAGCGUGGGAGCGAACAGG